UCGACGGAUCCCCCUUUUAGAUUUUUCACGCUUACUGCUUUUUUCUUCCCAAGAUCGAAAAUUUACUGAAUUAACAAUGGAUUCUGGUAUGUUCUAGCGCUUGCACCAUCCCAUUUAACUGUAAGAAGAAUUGCACGGUCCCAAUUGCUCGAGAGAUUUCUCUUUUACCUUUUUUUACUAUUUUUCACUCUCCCAUAACCUCCUAUAUUGACUGAUCUGUAAUAACCACGAUAUUAUUGGAAUAAAUAGGGGCUUGAAAUUUGGAAAAAAAAAAAAAACUGAAAUAUUUUCGUGAUAAGUGAUAGUGAUAUUCUUCUUUUAUUUGCUACUGUUACUAAGUCUCAUGUACUAACAUCGAUUGCUUCAUUCUUUUUGUUGCUAUAUUAUAUGUUUAGAGGUUGCUGCUUUGGUUAUUGAUAACGGUUCUGGUAUGUGUAAAGCCGGUUUUGCCGGUGACGACGCUCCUCGUGCUGUCUUCCCAUCUAUCGUCGGUAGACCAAGACACCAAGGUAUCAUGGUCGGUAUGGGUCAAAAAGACUCCUACGUUGGUGAUGAAGGGGAAUUCCGGUACC
rnacentral:misc_RNA from 1 species